rnacentral:rRNA from 1 species
CGGCGGACGGGUGAGUAACACGUGGAUAACCUACCUAUAAGACUGGGAUAACUUCGGGAAACCGGAGCUAAUACCGGAUAAUAUAUUGAACCGCAUGGUUCAAUAGUGAAAGACGGUUUUGCUGUCACUUAUAGAUGGAUCCGCGCCGCAUUAGCUAGUUGGUAAAGUAACGGCUUACCAAGGCAACGAUGCGUAGCCGACCUGAGAGGGUGAUCGGCCACACUGGAACUGAGACACGGUCCAG